AUUGAACGCUGGCGGCAUGCUUUACACAUGCCAGUCGAACGGCAGCGCGGGCUUCGGCCUGGCGGCGAGUGGCGAACGGGUGAGUAAUGCAUCGGAACGUGCCCAGUAGUGGGGGAUAGCCCGGCGAAAGCCGGAUUAAUACCGCAUACGACCUGAGGGUGAAAGCGGGGGACCGAAAGGCCUCGCGCUAUUGGAGCGGCCGAUGUCGGAUUAGCUAGUUGGUGGGGUAAAGGCUUACCAAGGCGACGAUCCGUAGCUGGUCUGAGAGGACGACCAGCCACACUGGGACUGAGACACGGCCCAGACUCCUACGGGAGGCAGCAGUGGGGAAUUUUGGACAAUGGGGGCAACCCUGAUCCAGCCAUGCCGCGUGCGGGAAGAAGGCCUUCGGGUUGUAAGCCGCUUUUGUUCGGGAAGAAAUCCUAUGGGCUAAUACCCCGGGGGGAUGACGGUACCGGAAGAAUAAGCACCGGCUAACUACGUG
rnacentral:rRNA from 1 species